UACGUAGGGGGCAAGCGUUGUCCGGAUUUAUUGGGCGUAAAGAGCGUGUAGGCGGCCAGAUAGGUCGGUUGUGAAAACUGGAGGCUUAACCUUCAGACGUCGAUCGAAACCAUCUGGCUAGAGUCCGGAAGAGGAGAAUGGAAUUCCUGGUGUAGCGGUGAAAUGCGCAGAUAUCAGGAAGAACACCCGUGGCGAAGGCGGUUCUCUGGGACGGUACUGACGCUGAGGUGCGAAAGCGUGGGGAGCAAACAGG
rnacentral:rRNA from 1 species